rnacentral:rRNA from 1 species
AUUGAACGCUGGCGGCAUGCCUUACACAUGCAAGUCGAACGGCAGCACGGGAGCAAUCCUGGUGGCGAGUGGCGAACGGGUGAGUAAUAUAUCGGAACGUGCCCAGUCGUGGGGGAUAACGUAGCGAAAGCUACGCUAAUACCGCAUACGAUCUAUGGAUGAAAGCGGGGGAUCGCAAGACCUCGCGCGAUUGGAGCGGCCGAUGUCAGAUUAGGUAGUUGGUGAGGUAAAGGCUCACCAAGCCGACGAUCUGUAGCUGGUCUGAGAGGACGACGAGCCACACUGGGACUGAGACACGGCCCAGACUCCUACGGGAGGCAGCAGUGGGGAAUUUUGGACAAUGGGCGCAAGCCUGAUCCAGCAAUGCCGCGUGCUGGAUGAAGGCCUUCGGGUUGUAAACUGCUUUUGUACGGAGCGAAAAGGCUUCCACUAAUACUGGGGGCUCAUGACGGUACCGUAAGAAUAAGCACCGGCUAACUACGUGCCAGCAGCCGCAGUAA